CAGAAUCAACGGUUUCUGGGUCUGAGAUGUUGCAUACACCCUCUCAGUCCCUGUAUCCUGAGAUGGAGUCGCCUGAGAAUCCACAGCAAGUCCUAACCAGGGAUGGGUCUGGGUGAUUAAGGAAGGUUGGCUUCAGAACUGGGCCAGGGACACUGCUUUGCUUUUGCUGUUUUGAUCACCUCUCUGCCUGCAGGAGACAAGGAAAACCAAUGGGAACAGAUAGGGUCUGUCUCUCUUUGCCACCCAGGCCAGAGUGCAGUUGAUGCAGGGCAGGGGAGCCCCGCAGUGGAGCAUAGUGUGUCCGCAGCUGGUGGGUUCUUAGUCUCACUGACUUCAAGAAUGAAGCCGCGGACUCUCGCGAAGUGAGGCUUCUCCCCAGGACCAGCAUUCCGCGAAGGCAGCCCUUUUCUAGAUGGAGAAAAUAGAACCUGAAGGCACCCGUUUCCCUAAACUGCUCUCUCGCUCAUGUUUCUACAGGGCCUGGAGCUGGUACAAAAAACCUCCCUUCUUUCCCAAAUGGUCCCCAGCUUCCCCGUUCACUGAAGGCCCUGCAGUCAGGAACAGUCAGGACUUUGCACCCAGUUGCUGUGGGUGCUGGGCCGACCCGAUCCUUCCUCUUAUGUGAUUCAUGGACCGUCAGCAUUGCAUCACCUGUGAGCUUUUGGAAUUGAAGACUCUCAGGGCUCACCCGGGAGGACCUGCUGGGCCAGAAUCUGCAUUUUAACAAGAUGCCC
rnacentral:antisense_RNA from 1 species